rnacentral:rRNA from 1 species
CAAUAGCGUAUAUUAAUGUUGCUGCAGUUAAAAAGCUCGUAGUUGGAUCUCGGGUCCAGGCCUGCGGUUCCGCCCGUGCGGAUACUGCUCGUCCUGACCUACCAGCCGGCCGACCCUUGGUGCCCUUAACUGGGUGUCUCGGGCGGGCCGGAACGUUUACUUUGAAAAAAUUAGAGUGUUCAAAGCAGGCGGCUCGCCUGAAUAAUGGUGCAUGGAAUAAUAGAAGAGGACCUUGGUUCUAUUUUGUUGGUUUCCGGAACUGGAGGUAAUGAUUGAGAGGGACUGCCGGGGGCAUUCGUAUUACGGUGUUAGAGGUGAAAUUCUUGGAUCGCCGUAAGACGAACGAGAGCGAAAGCAUUUGCCAAGAAUGUUUUCAUUAAUCAAGAACGAAAGUCAGAGGUUCGAAGACGAUCAGAUACCGUCGUAGUUCUGACCAUAAACGAUGCCAACUAUCGAUCCGUCGGCGUUGACAUCAAGACCCUGCGGGCAGCUUCCGGGAAACCAAAGUUUUUGGGUUCCGGGGGAAGUAUGGUUGCAAAGCUGAAACUUAAAGGAAUUGACGGAAGG